GUGCUCGCUUUGGCAGCACAUAUACUAAAAUUAGAACGAUACAGAGAAGAUUAGCAUGGCCCCUGUGCAAGGAUGACAUGCACAUUUGUGAUGCAUUCCAUAUUUUU
rnacentral:snRNA from 1 species